GACGAACCGUGCGAACGUUGUUCGGAUUCACUGGGCUUAAAGGGCGCGUAGGCGGACCCAAAAGUCCGGGGUGAAAUCGUUCGGCUUAACCGGACAAUUGCCCUGGAUACUGUGGGUCUCGAGGGAGGUAGGGGCAUGCGGAACUUCCGGUGGAGCGGUGAAAUGCGUUGAUAUCGGAAGGAACUCCGGUGGCGAAAGCGGCGUGCUGGAUCUCUACUGACGCUGAGGCGCGAAAGCCAGGGGAGCAAACGGG
rnacentral:rRNA from 1 species